rnacentral:rRNA from 1 species
CCUACGGGGGGCUGCAGUGGGGAAUAUUGCACAAUGGGCGCAAGCCUGAUGCAGCCAUGCCGCGUGUGUGAAGAAGGCCUUCGGGUUGUAAAGCACUUUCAGCGGGGAGGAAGGCGUUAAGGUUAAUAACCUUGUCGAUUGACGUUACCCGCAGAAGAAGCACCGGCUAACUCCGUGCCAGCAGCCGCGGUAAUACGGAGGGUGCAAGCGUUAAUCGGAAUUACUGGGCGUAAAGCGCACGCAGGCGGUCUGUCAAGUCGGAUGUGAAAUCCCCGGGCUCAACCUGGGAACUGCAUUCGAAACGGGCAGGCUAGAGUCUUGUAGAGGGGGGUAGAAUUCCAGGUGUAGCGGUGAAAUGCGUAGAGAUCUGGAGGAAUACCGGUGGCGAAGGCGGCCCCCUGGACAAAGACUGACGCUCAGGUGCGAAAGCGUGGGGAGCAAACAGGAUUAGAUACCCGGGUAGUC